AUGGUACAGAAAGCAGAUGGGGAACUGGGAAUCAUUGAGUUCAAAGUAACGGUCAGACUGUGCUACAUCGUUCUCCCUCAGCAGGCAGCAUUGAGAGCAUGUGAGGAGAUAAGUUGGCACUACACAGUGCAGCACAAUAAGUGCUGCAGUCCAUCUGUGUGGGCUUUCGGUGUUGAGUCCUUCAUACCAGAGCUUCCCACUGCAUUUCAGAUGAGGUUACAGGAAGCUUGUCUCAUGAAGGAAAGCACAAUUCUGAUGACACCACUCUUUAAAGUAAAGUAAAGAGAGUCAUGCAGGAAGACCUGGCUCUUGGCUACCUUAUACUGGUAAGUGUUCUGUCAGCAUCUCCAUGUCUCAUUUUCCUUUCCCAGAACACAUCUAUGCUUCAAUGCUCUGGGGAAUCUGGGCUUGUUGGUAUCGAUAAGCCUACUUCAGACUCUUGAUCUCAUUUCUAUCACGAACCAGACUAAAACACCUUGAAGCAUG
rnacentral:lncRNA from 1 species